UUUUUUUUGUCACAAAUCCUAUGCUUUGUUUUCUUUAUCUUUCUUGGCAUAUAUUCAACAAACAAACAAAAUAGUCUAGAGACUAUAGACUAUAGACCACAGACUAUAGAGAGACACCAUAUCCAAAUUAAUUGAACGAGUCAUCUAUAUAUACAUUUUUGCAGCCAUUUUAGCAAAUAAAUCCUAGACUUUGAUUUAUUUACAAUCUAAUGCCAUUAGCAUUAAAUCUUUUUUCUAAAAUAAUUAAUUUUACUUUAAAUUUU
rnacentral:sRNA from 1 species